GAGUUUGAUCCUGGCUCAGAACGAACGCUGGCGGCAGGCUAACACAUGCAAGUCGAACGCACUCUUCGGAGUGAGUGGCAGACGGGUAAGUAACGCGUGGGAACCUACCUAGUGGUACGGAAUAACUCGGGGAAACCCGUGCUAAUACCGUAUGUGCCCGAGAGGGGAAAGAUUUAUCGCCAUUAGAUGGGCCCGCGUCGGAUUAGCUUGUUGGUGAGGUAACGGCUCACCCAAGGCGACGAUCCGUAGCUGGUCUGAGAGGAUGACCAGUCACACUGGGACUGAGACACCGGCCCAGACUCCUACGGGAGGCAGCAGUGGGGAAUAUUGGACAAUGGGCGCAAGCCUGAUCCAGCCAUGCCGCGUGAGUGACGAAGGCCUUAGGGUUGUAAAGCUCUUUUGGCGGGGACGAUAAUGACGGUACCCGCAGAAUAAGCCCCGGCUAACUUCGUGCCAGCAGCCGCGGUAAUACGAAGGGGGCUAGCGUUGUUCGGAAUUACUGGGCGUAAAGGGCGUGUAGGCGGCCUGGUCAGUCAGAUGUGAAAGCCCACGGCUUAACCGUGGAACUGCAUUUGAAACUGCCCGGCUUGAGUGUGAGAUGGGGUAGCGGAAUUCCCAGUGUAGCGGUGAAAUGCGUAGAUAUUGGGAAGAACACCAGUAGCGAAGGCGGCUACCUGGCUCACAACUGACGCUAAUGCGCGAAAGCGCGGGGAGCAAACAGGAUUAGAUACCCUGGUAGUCCGCGCUGUAAACGAUGGAUACUAGAUGUUGGUCCCUUUUAGGAUCAGUGUCGCAAGCUAACGCAUUAAGUAUCCCGCCUGGGGAGUACGAUCGCA
rnacentral:rRNA from 1 species